GCGCGCGUGGCGGAACUGGCAGACGCGCCAGGUUUAGGUCCUGGUACUUAGGUGUGGGGGUUCAAGUCCCUCCGCGCGCACCA
rnacentral:tRNA from 1 species